rnacentral:rRNA from 1 species
GACGAACCUUGCUAACGUUAUUCGGAAUUACUGGGCUUAAAGGGUGCGUAGGCGGUGCAGAAAGUUGGGUGUGAAAGCCCUCGGCUCAACCGAGGAAUUGCGCCCAAAACUGCUGCACUAGAGGAAGACAGAGGUACGCGGAACUUAGGGUGGAGCGGUGAAAUGCGUUGAUAUCCGAAGGAACACCUGCGGCGAAGGCGGGUUGCUGGGCCGACACUGACGCUGAUGCGCGAAAGCCAGGGGAGCGAACGGG